rnacentral:lncRNA from 1 species
UCUUCUUCUUUUUUUUUUCUUGGUUUUUUUUGUUGUUGCUUGAUGAUAAAUGAUUGUUGGUUUUAGGGGUUAUGUGAGUUUGAGAGAUGGUGAUGGGUGAAGCAAUGGAGGGUAAGGGUGGAUAGGUUGUAGGUGUCGGUGAGGUCAAGAGUGGGUUGAGGGGAGAGCAACGAUGACCAUGGGUUGGAGGCGAGAAUGUAAGUUUGAGAGUUGAAAGAGACGGUGGUCAAAGGAUCGGUGGAGUUAUGAUGGUGGUGAUAGUAGUGGUGAGGGUGAAUGGAAAAAGAUGGCGGUGCUACCAGAGGGCUUGGCUGGGAUGAGACUCUAAGUGAUUGUUGGCAUUUGGGUUAUUUUGUAGUUUACCAAAAAUAAAAUAAAGUAAGAAAAGAAGAAAGGGUUAAAAUUCGUUUAAAUUAUAUGGCGAUGAAAUGGAAACAACAUCAGCAUUUAACGAUACAAUUUGUGCUAUGUCUAACUUCUAUUACACCUUUAACGGUGGUUAAUGGCGCAAUG